AUACUUAGCUGGCAGGGGAGCUACCAUGAUCACGAAGGUGGUUUUCCCAGGGCGAGGCUUAUCCAUUGCACUCCGGAUGUGCUGACUCCUGUGAUUUCCCCAAAUGUGGGAAACUCGACGGCAUAAUUUGUGGUAGUGGGGGACUGCGUUCUCGCUCUCCCCUG